rnacentral:tRNA from 1 species
UCCCUUGUGGCUCAGAUGGUAAAGCAUCUGCCUACAAUGCAGGAGACUCUGGUUCGAUCCCUGGGUUGGGAA